rnacentral:rRNA from 1 species
UAGGGAAUCUUGCACAAUGGGCGAAAGCCUGAUGCAGCAACGCCGCGUGAAGGAUGAAGGCCUUCGGGUUGUAAACUUCUGUUCCCGGGGACGAAGAAAGUGACGGUACCCGGGCAGCAAGCCCCGGCUAACUACGUGCCAGCAGCCGCGGUAAUACGUAGGGGGCAAGCGUUAUCCGGAAUUAUUGGGCGUAAAGAGUGCGUAGGUGGUUAUGUAAGCGUGAGGUUUAAGGCAGUGGCUUAACCACUGUUCGCCUUGCGAACUGCAUAACUUGAGUGCAGGAGGGGAAAGCGGAAUUCCUAGUGUAGCGGUGAAAUGCGUAGAUAUUAGGAGGAACACCAGCGGCGAAGGCGGCUUUCUGGACUGCAACUGACACUGAGGCACGAAAGCGUGGGGAGCAAACAGG